GCCUGGGUGGCUCAGUCGGUUAAGCAUCUGACUUUGGCUCAGGUCACGAUCUCACGGUCCGUGGGUUCGAGCCCUGCGUCGGGCU
rnacentral:tRNA from 1 species